UACGUAGGGUGCAAGCGUUGUCCGGAAUUAUUGGGCGUAAAGAGCUCGUAGGCGGUCUGUCGCGUCGGCUGUGAAAACUCGGGGCUCAACUCCGAGCUUGCAGUCGAUACGGGCAGGCUAGAGUUCGGCAGGGGAGACUGGAAUUCCUGGUGUAGCGGUGAAAUGCGUAGAUAUCAGGAGGAACACCGGUGGCGAAGGCGGCCCUCUGGACGGAUACUGACGCUGAGGCGCGAAAGCGUGGGGAUCAAACAGG
rnacentral:rRNA from 1 species